GCUCAUAUAACCUAAAGGAGAAGGUAGGGUACUUCUAAUACCCUUAUUUUGGUUCGAUUCCAAAUGUGAGUA